GUGGGGAUAGUGUAACUGAGUAACAUAUUGGUCUCCAAAACCAAAGAAUCUAGGUUCAAAUCCUAGUCCCCACGC
rnacentral:tRNA from 1 species